AGCUAGUUGGCGGGGUAGAGGCCCACCAAGGCUACGAUGGCUAGGGGUUCUAAGAGGAUGGUCCCCCACACUGGUACUGAGACACGGACCAGACUCCUACGGGAGGCAGCAGUAGGGAAUAUUGGGCAAUGGCCGAGAGGCUGACCCAGCCAUGCCGCGUGCAGGAAGAAGGCCUUCUGGGUUGUAAACUGCUUUUAUCUGGGAAGAAAACGCUCUUGCGAGAGUAACUGACGGUACCAGAUGAAUAAGCACCGGCUAACUCCGUGCCAGCAGCCGCGGUAAUACGGAGGGUGCAAGCGUUGUCCGGAUUUAUUGGGUUUAAAGGGUGCGUAGGCGGCCCGUUAAGUCAGCGGUGAAAUCCCAGGGCUCAACCCUGGAACU
rnacentral:rRNA from 1 species